AUUACCGUUCAAAGCUAUAAAGCAUUGUUUUGUGCAUAUUCAUAUUGCAAAAUAUUAAAAAUAAAAAUUCGAAACAAACACACAACGUGGGCAACACAUGUUUUUUUAAUAGAAGAGCAUAACUUUGUUUCUAAUGAUUCACCAGUUCUCUUGUGUUGUGACUUGUGAAUAGUGGGAUUACAUUUGAACUGACAUCAACGCAAGGGGAGAUGGGCAGGAAGAUGUAGUCAACAAUGAGUUUGUAUGCUGGUGUAGCAACCCUAGCUGUUCACUUGUGCGUCACAGUACUCAGUGCAAAAGUUUCAGAAUACGCUACACUCGAAACCACUGCAGAUCCUCUUGCCGUUAGUUUACAAAAAAAGUUAGUGAAUGACAACUACGAUUACUUCGAGAUCAACGGAACUAUACACCUCCGCACAGACUCUAAUGAAAAUACUGAAACACAGCGAGAAACAAAACCUCAAAACUCUGGCACAACUGACUUUCACGACGAUUAUCAAAUAACAACCGUAGAUGUAAAUUCUCAAAUUGAUGAGGACGACAAUAGUGGAGUGUGGUACGAAGCAGACACUGAAUCACAUGAUGGACCACCAGAUAACAAAGAACAGUUAUUUGGCACUGAUGAUAAGCACCUUGCCAAAGCUAAGCCGGAUUAUGAAAAAGACGGGACGACUAGUGUCAAAUAUAAACUAAUAAAGUCAAAACAUAAAUCGCGACGAAAAUUCAGCGAGUCACUCAUCCAGGAGGAGAAAGACGGAGCGCUGGUCAUCAUGAAGUUGGGUGGAGGGCCGAUGCCUCAGUUCAGGUUGCCACAGUCACGGCGGCAAUACAUGCACGACCACAAUCACGAACUUAGCGACCUCGACCGAGAACUCGGAGCUGAGAAACAUGACGACAGCCGAGCGGCCACAGAUCCAGUUGACGUGGAAGGAAACGCAAAUGUUCCCGCGUUUACCGAUUCUAGUGCAACUUCCAGAAUCAGUAAUCCUUACAUCAUAGAUAUGACGACAGUGUAUAAUUAGUUCUUGAUAUCACCACGGACAAGUAAAAAUAGAAGGACUCUACGCCGUGAUUAUAGCAAAUGAAGCACCUUUAUGCUAGUGUGUUUGCGGUUACUGGGUAUACCAGUUACACAAUUUUCCUUAAAUAAUUAUAUAUCCACAAAUACUUUUAUAGUAUUGUUUUUA